GGAAAGUCGCGCAGCAAAGGGUGAUAGCCCCGUACACUAAAAUGCACAGGUCGUGAGUUCGAUGAGUAGGGCGGGACACGUGACAUCCUGUCUGAAUAUGGGGGGACCAUCCUCCAAGGCUAAAUACUCCUGACUGACCGAUAGUGAACCAGUACCGUGAGGGAAAGGCGAAAAGAACCCCGGCGAGGGGAGUGAAAUAGAACCUGAAACCGUGUACGUACAAGCAGUGGGAGCACCUUCGUGGUGUGACUGCGUACCUUUUGUAUAAUGGGUCAGCGACUUAUAUUUUGUAGCAAGGUUAACCGUAUAGGGGAGCCGUAGGGAAACCGAGUCUUAACUGGGCGAUUAGUUGCAAGGUAUAGACCCGAAACCCGGUGAUCUAGCCAUGGGCAGGUUGAAGGUUGGGUAACACUAACUGGAGGACCGAACCGACUAAUGUUGAAAAAUUAGCGGAUGACUUGUGGCUGGGGGUGAAAGGCCAAUCAAACCGGGAGAUAGCUGGUUCUCCCCGAAAGCUAUUUAGGUAGCGCCUCGUGAACUCAUCUUCGGGGGUAGAGCACUGUUUCGGCUAGGGGGCCAUCCCGGCUUACCAAACCGAUGCAAACUCCGAAUACCGAAGAAUGUUAUCACGGGAGACACACGGCGGGUGCUAACGUCCGUCGUGAAGAGGGAAACAACCCAGACCGCCAGCUAAGGUCCCAAAGUCAUGGUUAAGU
rnacentral:rRNA from 1 species